rnacentral:rRNA from 1 species
AUUGAACGCUGGUGGCAUGCUUUACACAUGCAAGUCGAACGGUAACAGGUUAAGCUGACGAGUGGCGAACGGGUAAGUAAUGCAUCGGAACGUGCCCGAUCGUGGGGGAUAACGCAGCGAAAGCUGCGCUAAUACCGCAUACGAUCUGAGGAUGAAAGCGGGGGACCGUAAGGCCUCGCGCGAUCGGAGCGGCCGAUGUCAGAUUAGGUAGUUGGUGGGGUAAAGGCCCACCAAGCCGACGAUCUGUAGCUGGUCUGAGAGGACGACCAGCCACACUGGGACUGAGACACGGCCCAGACUCCUACGGGAGGCGGCAGUGGGGAAUUUUGGACAAUGGGCGAAAGCCUGAUCCAGCAAUGCCGCGUGCAGGAAGAAGGCCUUCGGGUUGUAAACUGCUUUUGUACGGAGCGAAAAGGUCCUUUCUAAUACAAGGGGCUCAUGACGGUACCGUAAGAAUAAGCACCGGCUAACUACGUGCCAGCCGCCGCCGUAA